GGGUUGUGAGGUUAAGCGACUAAGCGUACACGGUGGAUGCCCUGGCAGUCAGAGGCGAUGAAGGACGUGCUAAUCUGCGAAAAGCGCCGGCGAGGUGAUAUGAACCCUUGACCCGGCGAUGUCCGAAUGGGGAAACCCAGUGUGAUUCGUCACACUAUCGUUAGCUGAAUACAUAGGCUAACGAGGCGAACCGGGGGAACUGAAACAUCUAAGUACCCCGAGGAAAAGAAAUCAACCGAGAUUCCCCCAGUAGCGGCGAGCGAACGGGGAGCAGCCCGGAGUCUGAAUCAGCUUGUGUGUUAGUGGAAGCGUCUGGAAAGUCGCAGGGUACAGGGUGAUACUCCCGUACACGAAAGCACACAUGCUGUGAACUCGAAGAGUAGGGCGGGACACGUGGUAUCCUGUCUGAAUAUGGGGGACCAUCCUCCAAGGCUAAAUACUCCUGACUGACCGAUAGUGAACCAGUACCGUGAGGGAAAGGCGAAAAGAACCCCGGCGAGGGGAGUGAAAAAGAACCUGAAACCGUGUACGUACAAGCAGUGGGAGCACCUUCGGGUGUGACUGCGUACCUUUUGUAUAAUGGGUCAGCGACUUAUAUUCUGUAGCAAGGUUAACCGUAUAGGGGAGCCGAAGGGAAACCGAGUCUUAACUGGGCGUUAAGUUGCAGGGUAUAGACCCGAAACCCGGUGAUCUAGCCAUGGGCAGGUUGAAGGUUGGGUAACACUAACUGGAGGACCGAACCGACUAAUGUUGAAAAAUUAGCGGAUGACCUGUGGCUGGGGGUGAAAGGCCAAUCAAACCGGGAGAUAGCUGGUUCUCCCCGAAAGCUAUUUAGGUAGCGCCUCGUGAACUCAUCCUCGGGGUAGAGCACUGUUUCGGCUAGGGGCCAUCCCGGCUUACCAACCCGAUGCAAACUGCGAAUACCGAGGAAUGUUAUCACGGGAGACACACGGCGGGUGCUAACGUCCGUCGUGAAGAGGGAAACAACCCAGACCGCCAGCUAAGGUCCCAAAGUCAUGGUUAAGUGGGAAACGAUGUGGGAAGGCACAGACAGCCAGGAUGUUGGCUUAGAAGCAGCCAUCAUUUAAAGAAAGCGUAAUAGCUCACUGGUCGAGUCGGCCUGCGCGGAAGAUGUAACGGGGCUAAACCAUGCACCGAAGCUGCGGCAGCGACACUAUGUGUUGUUGGGUAGGGGAGCGUUCUGUAAGCCUGCGAAGGUGUGCUGUGAGGCAUGCUGGAGGUAUCAGAAGUGCGAAUGCUGACAUAAGUAACGAUAAAGCGGGUGAAAAGCCCGCUCGCCGGAAGACCAAGGGUUCCUGUCCAACGUUAAUCGGGGCAGGGUGAGUCGACCCCUAAGGCGAGGCCGAAAGGCGUAGUCGAUGGGAAACAGGUUAAUAUUCCUGUACUCGGUGUUACUGCGAAGGGGGGACGGAGAAGGCUAUGUUGGCCGGGCGACGGUUGUCCCGGUUUAAGCAUGUAGGCGGAGGUUCCAGGUAAAUCCGGUACCUUUUAACGCUGAGGUGUGAUGACGAGGCACUACGGUGCUGAAGCAACAAAUGCCCUGCUUCCAGGAAAAGCCUCUAAGCAUCAGGUAACAUCAAAUCGUACCCCAAACCGACACAGGUGGUCAGGUAGAGAAUACCAAGGCGCUUGAGAGAACUCGGGUGAAGGAACUAGGCAAAAUGGUGCCGUAACUUCGGGAGAAGGCACGCUGAUAUGUAGGUGAAGCCCCUGCGGGUGGAGCUGAAAUCAGUCGAAGAUACCAGCUGGCUGCAACUGUUUAUUAAAAACACAGCACUGUGCAAACACGAAAGUGGACGUAUACGGUGUGACGCCUGCCCGGUGCCGGAAGGUUAAUUGAUGGGGUUAGCGGCAACGCGAAGCUCUUGAUCGAAGCCCCGGUAAACGGCGGCCGUAACUAUAACGGUCCUAAGGUAGCGAAAUUCCUUGUCGGGUAAGUUCCGACCUGCACGAAUGGCGUAAUGAUGGCCAGGCUGUCUCCACCCGAGACUCAGUGAAAUUGAAAUCGCUGUGAAGAUGCAGUGUACCCGCGGCAAGACGGAAAGACCCCGUGAACCUUUACUAUAGCUUGACACUGAACACUGGUCCUUGAUGUGUAGGAUAGGUGGGAGGCUUUGAAGUGUGGACGCCAGUCUGCAUGGAGCCGUCCUUGAAAUACCACCCUUUAAUGGCUGGUGUUCUAACGUGGACCCGUGAUCCGGGUUGCGGACAGUGUCUGGUGGGUAGUUUGACUGGGGCGGUCUCCUCCUAAAGAGUAACGGAGGAGCACGAAGGUCAGCUAAUCCUGGUCGGACAUCAGGAGGUUAGUGCAAUGGCAUAAGCUGGCUUGACUGCGAGAGUGACGGCUCGAGCAGGUGCGAAAGCAGGUCAUAGUGAUCCGGUGGUUCUGUAUGGAAGGGCCAUCGCUCAACGGAUAAAAGGUACUCCGGGGAUAACAGGCUGAUACCGCCCAAGAGUUCAUAUCGACGGCGGUGUUUGGCACCUCGAUGUCGGCUCAUCACAUCCUGGGGCUGAAGUAGGUCCCAAGGGUAUGGCUGUUCGCCAUUUAAAGUGGUACGCGAGCUGGGUUUAGAACGUCGUGAGACAGUUCGGUCCCUAUCUGCCGUGGGCGCUGGAGAAUUGAGGGGGCUGCUCCUAGUACGAGAGGACCGGAGUGGACGCAUCACUGGUGUUCGGGUUGUCAUGCCAAUGGCACUGCCCGGUAGCUAAAUGCGGAAGAGAUAAGUGCUGAAAGCAUCUAAGCACGAAACUUGCCCCGAGAUGAGUUCUCCCUGACUCCUUGAGAGUCCUGAAGGAACGUUGAAGACGACGACGUUGAUAGGCCGGGUGUGUAAGCGCAGCGAUGCGUUGAGCUAACCGGUACUAAUGAACCGUGAGGCUUAACCUUACAACGCCGAAGCUGUU
rnacentral:rRNA from 1 species